AGCGGUUCAAGAGGUUAUUCAGCAGUAUGAGACACUCGGGCCUUCGAGUGAACUACGACAAAUCUGAUUUCUUUACUGGGGGAGUUACCGAGCAAACGGCAGACCAACUGGCAGGAAUAUUGGGCAUCCGACGAGGAACAUUACCAAUUCGCUACCUUGGCAUUCCGCUAAGUCCAUGGAAAUUAUCUAAGCACGACUACCAACCGUUGUUGGACAGAAUCAACGCCAAAAUAAAUUCAUGGACAUCAAAAUUUCUGUCAUAUGCUGGCAAGGUACAAUUGAUUUCCUCUGUGAUUUAUGGUUUAGUUAACUCAUGGUGUUCGUUGUUUCUGCUGCCCAAAUACUUGCUUAAGCAGAUAAACAACAUAUGUGCAAAUUUCUUGUGGAAAUCCACCUCGACGAGUGGAGGGGCACACCGAGUUGCCUGGCCAAUUAUUUGUCUCCCGAAGAAGGAAGGCGGAUUGGGACUGGUAAACUGGUAGACGUUAAUCUGGUGGCAAGGAUGAAAUUGGUGUGACUACUAUUCUCCAAGGCUGGCUCUUUAUGGGUAGCAUGGCUCAAAGCCAACAUUUUCAAGCGGCUGUCUUACUGGUCAAUCAACCCCUCGCCACGACAUACUUGGAACCUACGGAAGCUAAUUGGACUACGGGGAACUUGGACCGAGAGAACUGCGAAUCCCUCUCCACGCGAUGGUCAAGGAAGCAACGAACGGGGAAGGCUGGAAGCUACCACCGGCACGAUCAAAGCGGCACAAAGAAUCCACGAAAUCUUAACCACGAAACCUAUUCCAACACCAGAUAAUGGGCCUGAUAAAAUGCAAUGGAAGCAGGGACAAGAUCUAUUCGCUGAAAAAUUCAUCUCCUCAGCAACCUGGAGGCUCUUACGUUCACCAUCAGUUGAAGUUCCUUGGGCGAGCGCAGUUUGGUUCAAGCAAACAACGCCGAGACAUGCUGUUAUCCAGUGGCAAGCAUUCUUGGGAAGAUUACCAACACGAGACCGGCUACAUCGUUGGGGACUUCAGCAAGAGACUAUCUGCUCGAUGUGUUAUUCGGAUGACGAGACGCACAACCAUCUAUUCCUUCAAUGCCAAUUUAGCUCCAGUAUAUGGCGCCACUUUGCAGAGAAGAUUUGGUGCAACCCCCCACUCUUACUACAUCAGAUUCCUCAUUGGAUUGAGGAGGCGACGAUUGAUCGAACACGACAGCGAGCUGCACUAGGGAGAAUAACACUACAAGCAUUGGUUUAUCUUGUUUGGCAGGAGAGAAAUAGCAGGAUUUUCCGCGCACAGAGCACUCAACUGCCAGAUUUCAUUCAUAAGCUGGACCGGCUAGUUCGGAACAUUAUCUUAUCUUGCCAAACGAGCAUGCAACCUCGUGAAAAUUUGUUACUACAGGAUUGGUACUAUAUCACAAGGCCUCCCUGAUAUGUCUUUUGCUAGGAAAACAAUAGGCAUGGAAGUUUUAUUUUGUUAACCGAUUUCAAAACGGUUCUGUAAACUACAAACAAUAAUUUUUUUGGUUAAUA